rnacentral:rRNA from 1 species
AUUGAACGCUGGCGGCAGGCCUAACACAUGCAAGUCGAACGAGUGGCGGACGGGUGAGUAAUGUCUGGGAAACUGCCUGAUGGAGGGGGAUAACUUCUGGAAACGGUAGCUAAUACCGCAUACCAUCAGAUGUGCCCAGAUGGGAUUAGCUAGUUGGUGUGGUAAAGGCUCACCUAGGCGACGAUCCCUAGCUGGUCUGAGAGGAUGACCAGCCACACGGGAACUGAGACACGGUCCAGACUCCUACGGUAGGCAGCAGUGGGGAAUAUUGGACAAUGGGCGCAAGCCUGAUACAGCCAUGCCGCGUGUAUGAAGAAGGCCUUCGGGUUGUAAAGUACUUUCAGCGGGGAGGCGUUACCCGCAGAAGAAGCACCGGCUAACUACGUGCCAGCAGCCGCGGUAAUAC